rfam:Capsicum annuum cultivar Zunla-1 chromosome 9, whole genome shotgun sequence
UGUUGAUGAUGUGGGCAUUUCCAAAGAAGAGCUUUGAACCUCUCUCAAGCACAAUAUAGGUUCUCAUCUGGCUUCUGCUUGAAGCUCAAAAUCUCAUUACAUAGUUU